CCUACGGGAGGCUGCAGUGAGGAAUAUUGGUCAAUGGACGAGAGUCUGAACCAGCCAAGUAGCGUGAAGGAUGACUGCCCUAUGGGUUGUAAACUUCUUUUAUAUGGGAAUAAAACGUUCCACGUGUGGGAUUUUGUAUGUACCAUAUGAAUAAGGAUCGGCUAACUCCGUGCCAGCAGCCGCGGUAAUACGGAGGAUCCGAGCGUUAUCCGGAUUUAUUGGGUUUAAAGGGAGCGUAGGUGGAUUGUUAAGUCAGUUGUGAAAGUUUGCGGCUCAACCGUAAGAUUGCAGUUGAAACUGGCAGUCUUGAGUACAGUAGAGGUGGGCGGAAUUCGUGGUGUAGCGGUGAAAUGCUUAGAUAUCACGAAGAACUCCGAUUGCGAAGGCAGUUCACUGGACUGCAACUGACACUGAGGCUCGAAAGUGUGGGUAUCAAACAGGAUUAGAUACCCUAGUAGUC
rnacentral:rRNA from 1 species